rnacentral:rRNA from 1 species
UGGGGAAUAUUGCACAAUGGAGGGAACUCUGAUGCAGCGACGCCGCGUGAACGAAGAAGGCUUUCGAGUCGUAAAGUUCUUUUAUAUGGGAAGAUAAUGACGGUACCAUAAGAAGAAGCCCCGGCUAACUACGUGCCAGCAGCCGCGGUAAUACGUAGGGGGCUAGCGUUGUCCGGAAUCACUGGGCGUAAAGGGUUCGCAGGCGGAAAUGCAAGUCAGGUGUAAAAGGCAGUAGCUUAACUACUGUAAGCAUUUGAAACUGCAUAUCUUGAGAAGAGUAGAGGUAAGUGGAAUUUUUAGUGUAGCGGUGAAAUGCGUAGAUAUUAAAAAGAAUACCGGUGGCGAAGGCGACUUACUGGGCUCAUUCUGAAGCUGAGGAACGAAAGCGUGGGUAGCAAACAGG